rnacentral:misc_RNA from 1 species
UCUCCGUAGGUGAACCUGCGGAGGGAUCAUUACAGAGUUCUCGCCCUCGCGGGUAGAUCUCCCACCCACUGUUAUCGUUACUGUGUUGCUUUGGCGGGCCGCCGGGCCCCGCUCGGCCGCCGGCUCCGGCUGGCGCGCGCCCGCCAGAGGCCCAGCAAACUCUGAAUGUUAGUGUCGUCUGAGUACUAUAUAAUAGUUAAAACUUUCAACAACGGAUCUCUUGGUUCUGGCAUCGAUGAGAACGCAGC